UUCAGCAAAACAGCUGAUGACGUAAGGUGAGCGAGAAGUCUACAUCGCCAGUCUACGUUUAGCCAAUCAUCAGCUGGGGGCUGGGCUGACAGGGACCAAUCAAAAGACUUUAGAGUUUAGACUGAAGUUCUAGUAGCAACAGCAAACAGCACUGAUUUAGUAAGAGAAGUUGAAAUGACAAGCGUCUGAGAAAACAGCGUCUUCGUGAGAGAGGAUAGAUGCUGGGACUGGGAGCUGUUCUACUAGAAACGCAACACAGGACACUAGGAUGUUGUGUAUUCAAGGCCUGAACAAGGAACAAAGAAAAUUCAUUCUGCACUGCCACUGUCCAUGGAGCUGAAAUGUACAUCUACAAUGUAUGACAGCUGUACUGACUUCAACUAAUCUACUGUUUGUUUGUUCAGUGUAUUUGGUUAAUAGGUAAUAGGUUUUUAAUUUUUCUUGUUUUUCCACUUGUGUUUUUUGUUUGCAUUACAUGUGAUAUAGAGUUGUGAUCAUUAUAAUGAGGUAUGUAACAGUGUUCUCCAAUUAAAGAAUGACCAAACUUAA